GAUUGCUACUCAGAUCUUCCAGUUCACCUCUUUUCGAGGCAGGGUGUGGAGUACACUAAGGCCCAGAGAGUUUUUGCCCUUACGCUCCACCUCCAUGGCCCAAAAGCCUAUCAUUAUCUGAGAGAGACUCUGCAUAUUCACCUUCCACAUCCCAGUUCAUUGCAAAGGUGGUUGAGCUCCGUUGAUGCCA